rnacentral:tRNA from 2 species
GCGCCCGUAGCUCAACGGAUAGAGCAUUUGACUACGGAUCAAAAGGUUAGAGGUUCGAAUCCUCUCGGGCGCG